rnacentral:lncRNA from 1 species
GUGCUGCCAGCAUGUGGAGCUGAGAGCAGUGAAAGUCCAAAGGACUGGGGCACCAGAGGAGGUCACCAGGAGCUGUCAUGACUGCAGGACAUAUAUAAGCCCUGCAGGAAAGAGAAAGGGAGAAUGAUUCAUUGGUUGAUGCAAGCCUCUGUAGUAUUUAGCCUCUGGACCAGCUCUCUUGUUCUGCAGCACAGGUUCAUCUCAUUUGUGCUGCAGUUCUUAGUCACCCCAUCCAGCAUGGACAAAAAGGCUGCACAGCAUUCAGGUAUGAAGAACACUUGUCCAUUCGUAAUUGAAACUAUUCAAGAUGCAUGGGCCUGAAAGGGCAUUAUAAGUUUCUCAUGCUCUCUGGUGUAGUAAAGAUCUUGUCUUCUAGCAAACAUUAUGAAUGAAAGAUUUUCUUACAAGGAGAGAUGGAGUAGACUGAAUCAAGCCUCUGUCAAGAACCACUUCUGCAAUACUGAAUUAACAUACCCAAGACCGGCACAUCAGGAAGAUAGCCUUCUACCAAGAAUAGUGUGGAGAUACACUUUGUUCACAGAAGGAAACAUCAUGAGACUCAGACAGAUACAGUGCAUCCUCCGAUUGCAGAGAUGUUGCUGCUCUCUGAGCACUGCACACUCUGUGUUCAUGACUGAUGAAAAUAAUGCCCAGUUUUGGGGGAGAUUUGUGUUAUGGGAGACAGUAACAGCUGCUCUAAUAGGGUGGCUUAUCACUUUCUUGUGGAGACAGGUACAGCUUCUGUUCUCUUUUGCACCCUCAAAUCUGGUAUAA